GUAGGGUCCAAGCGUUGUCCGGAUUUAUUGGGUUUAAAGGGUGCGUAGGCGGCCCUGUAAGUCAGUGGUGAAAUACUCCAGCUUAACUGGAGGGGUGCCAUUGAUACUGCAGGGCUUGAGUUAAGUUGAAGUUGGCGGAAUUGCCGGUGUAGCGGUGAAAUGCUUAGAUAUCGUCAAGACCACCGAUAGUGAAGACAGCUAACUAAACUUUUACUGACGCUGAGCCACGAAAGUGUGGGGAUCAACCAGGAUUAGAUACCCUGGUAGUCCCCACUGUAAACGUUGAUUACUCGCUGUGUGCGAUAUCCAGUACGCGGCCAAGCGAAAGCGAUAAGUAAUCCACCUGGGGAGUCCGCCGGCACCGGUG
rnacentral:rRNA from 1 species